rnacentral:rRNA from 1 species
CCCUUAGAUGUUCUGGGCCGCACGCGCGCUACACUGACGAAUGCAACGAGCUUAUAACCUUGGCCGAAAGGUCUGGGUAAUCUCCAAAUUUCGUCGUGAUGGGGAUAGAUUAUUGCAAUUAUUAAUCUUCAACGAGGAAUGCCUAGUAAGCGCAGGUCAUUAGCCUGCGCUGAUUAAGUCCCUGCCCUUUGUACACACCGCCCGUCGCUCCUACCGAUUUCGAGUGGUCCGGUGAAUCUUUCGGACUGCGCGCGGCCUCGUGCCGUGUCGCGGAAAGUCAGGUAAACCUUAUCACUUAGAGGAAGGAGAAGUCGUAACA